rnacentral:rRNA from 1 species
GAUGAACGCUGGCGGCGUGCCUAAUACAUGCAAGUCGAGCGAACAGACGAGGAGCUUGCUCCUCUGACGUUAGCGGCGGACGGGUGAGUAACACGUGGAUAACCUACCUAUAAGACUGGGAUAACUUCGGGAAACCGGAGCUAAUACCGGAUAAUAUAUUGAACCGCAUGGUUCAAUAGUGAAAGACGGUUUUGCUGUCACUUAUAGAUGGAUCCGCGCCGCAUUAGCUAGUUGGUAAGGUAACGGCUUACCAAGGCAACGAUGCGUAGCCGACCUGAGAGGGUGAUCGGCCACACUGGAACUGAGACACGGUCCAGACUCCUACGGGAGGCAGCAGUAGGGAAUCUGCCGCAAUGGGCGAAGGCCUGACGGAGCAACGCCGCGUGAGUGAUGAAGGUCUUCGGAUCGUAAAACUCUGUUAUUAGGGAAGAACAAAUGUGUAAGUAACUAUGCACGUCUGGACGGUACCUAAUCAGAAAGCCACGGCUAACUACGU